rnacentral:rRNA from 1 species
UACGUAGGGUGCGAGCGUUGUCCGGAAUUAUUGGGCGUAAAGGGCUCGUAGGCGGUUUGUCGCGUCGGGCGUGAAAACUCAGGGCUUAACCCUGAGCCUGCUUCCGAUACGGGCAGACUAGAGGUAUGCAGGGGAGAACGGAAUUCCUGGUGUAGCGGUGAAAUGCGCAGAUAUCUGGAGGAACACCGGUGGCGAAGGCGGCAUCCUGGACCGAGAUUGACGCUGAGGCGCGAAAGCUAGGGGAGCAAACGGG